rnacentral:rRNA from 1 species
GACGAACGCUGGCGGCGUGCCUAAUACAUGCAAGUAGAACGCUGAAGGAGGAGCUUGCUUCUCUGGAUGAGUUGCGAACGGGUGAGUAACGCGUAGGUAACCUGCCUGGUAGCGGGGGAUAACUAUUGGAAACGAUAGCUAAUACCGCAUAAGAGUAGAUGUUGCAUGACAUUUGCUUAAAAGGUGCAAUUGCAUCACUACCAGAUGGACCUGCGUUGUAUUAGCUAGUUGGUGGGGUAACGGCUCACCAAGGCGACGAUACAUAGCCGACCUGAGAGGGGGAUCGGCCACACUGGGACUGAGACACGGCCCAGACGCCUACGGGAGGCAGCAGUAGGGAAUCUUCGGCAAUGGACGGAAGUCUGACCGAGCAACGCCGCGUGAGUGAAGAAGGUUUUCGGAUCGUAAAGCUCUGUUGUAAGGGAAGAACGAGUGUGAGAGUGGAAAGUUCACACUGUGACGGUAUCUUACCAGAAAGGGACGGCUAACUACGUG